rnacentral:rRNA from 1 species
AUGUUCAACGACUGCAUCACGGAGCUUGGCCUCCGUGAGCUAGAGCGAACGGGGGCCCGGUUCACCUGGACUAACCGCCAGGCAAACCCGACGCGGUUUGUUCUGGACCGUGUCCUAGUCUCUCCGGAGUGGGAACUUAGAUGUCCCCUGGCCUCGUUGCAGGAAAUCACCCGGAUCGGAUGUGAUCACGUCCCCCUCCUCCUCUCCUUCACCGAUGAACGCCCCCAUCCUCCAUGGUCCCGGUUUGAGCUCUUCUGGCUCAACAAAGCCGGAUUUCGCAAGGCCGUUGCCUCCAAGUGGACCGCCGCGUGCGAUUCUCCCCACUGCGCCAUGUCCGCCGUUGACUCUUGGCAGUUCUGCGCCAAGCUUGCCCGCCAAUUCAUGAAGGGUUGGGGCGCGAACCUUGGCCGAGACCUCUAUGACUGCAAGAAAGCCCUCCUGAGUGCCAUCCAAGUCCUGGACGCCCGCGCUGACACCUCUGCGAUCUCUCCGGACGAGUGGAUGCUGAGAUAUGAUCUUGAGGACCAGCUAUCAGUAAUCUACUCGGAUGAGGAGGCAUAUUGGCGGCUGCGUGGCACCCAACGGUGGGUGCACCAUGGUGAUGCUAACACGGCUUAUUUCUAG